CCUAAUACAUGCAAGUAGAACGCUGAAGAGAGGAGCUUGCUCUUCUUGGAUGAGUUGCGAACGGGUGAGUAACGCGUAGGUAACCUGCCUUGUAGCGGGGGAUAACUAUUGGAAACGAUAGCUAAUACCGUAUAACAAUGGAUGACACAUGUCAUUUAUUUGAAAGGGGCAAUUGCUCCACUACAAGAUGGACCUGCGUUGUAUUAGCUAGUAGGUGAGGUAAUGGCUCACCUAGGCGACGAUACAUAGCCGACCUGAGAGGGUGAUCGGCCACACUGGGACUGAGACACGGCCCAGACUCCUACGGGAGGCAGCAGUAGGGAAUCUUCGGCAAUGGGGGCAACCCUGACCGAGCAACGCCGCGUGAGUGAAGAAGGUUUUCGGAUCGUAAAGCUCUGUUGUAAGUCAAGAACGGGUGUGAGAGUGGAAAGUUCACACUGUGACGGUAGCUUACCAGAAAGGGACGGCUAACUACGUGCCAGCAGCCGCGGUAAUACGUAGGUCCCGAGCGUUGUCCGGAUUUAUUGGGCGUAAAGCGAGCGCAGGCGGUUUGAUAAGUCUGAAGUUAAAGGCUGUGGCUCAACCAUAGUUCGCUUUGGAAAC
rnacentral:rRNA from 1 species